rnacentral:lncRNA from 1 species
AUGCCACCCAGUGAGCCAGCAGCUUCUCACCUAAAAUACCCAGCCCAGAGCCUCACACAUCAGCUGUGUGUAGGAGGGUGGCAGACUAUGAUCUGUCCCCAACCCAGAGAAGCAGGCCUCAGAACUGAGAACAAAGAAUUUCUAGUAUUAAUUAAAAUGGUUUCAGGCGCCAGGAGAGCGCCCACAAGGCAAGCCUUGGCUUCAAGCACAGGACUUCUUGAAGGGCAGCAGCUGGCGACCAAGAUAGGACGGGGAGGAUCGGGCUGGAGGGACCAGGGCUGCUUCUGCUGGGCCCCACACUGGCUUAGACUAACAGCUUAAAGGGACAAACAUGCCAAAAAGAUCAGUUUUCUGAUAUUUUCUUUAUUAUUAAACAUAAAACAACAACACAAACAUUUCAAUACACAAGGAAGAGGACCGUAUGUGACCUGUGAAUUUCUCUUUCUAUUUUGAAAGUGUGAUUUAAACUGAAUGAUAACACUAUCUGGCUGGACCUGCGUUUCCUAACCUAAAAGGAUGUCAUCCCCUUGCCUGAACCUUGCUAAAAACUUAACAACGCAGCAGACUAACCCUAAAGAGGCCUCGCCUUAGACAAGACAGAAGCGCUGGCUACUUCCUUGCCCUCAUAUGGAUCAGCUGGGCCUCUCCAGCAGCCAGAGAGAGUCCUGGCCUCCAGAACCGUUCACACUGCCCAAUUCUUAUCAGGUACUCUCCCCUGGUCCCACUGACAUCUCAAACUGCAUCAAUACCAUGAUACCCCCCUCCCCCCUCCCCAAACAAACCCAGGCCAAAUCCAAGCUAGUCAAUGUUUCUGACUUGCCCCCACCUUUCCCACUCAAACUGCCACUACUCCAUGCUUUAUUAUUCUUGCCUAGGCUAGCAUAAAGCCCUCAGCUCUGAGGUGGGAAAGCCUGCAUUCAAAGCCUGUGACGCUUAUGAUCUGCGUGACGUUGGGCAAGUUACUUGGUUUCCCCUGGGCCUCAGUUUCAUCUGCACUUAAAAUCACUUCAAAGGAAACAGAAAGAGGAGUGGGAGUCUGGAAGGAGGGGAUGCCGUACAACUUGGGGGGCAUCUGUGAUGAGAAUCACUUGGAGAACUCCCAGUCAGGAAAUGCCUCCUCUCAGUGUGCAUGCUCUGGCAUCCAAGCCCUUUGGAACAAAAGCCAGGAGAGCCUAAUAAGGAUGCUUGAUCAUCUCGUCUGAGUGUUACAACAACUGGGGUCGAAACAGGAAGAAAUCAUUAGCCUCAUUUUACAAAUGAGGGAACUCAGAGAUGAAGUGACUUGCCCAACGUAACACAGUCAGUGAAGCAUCAGAUGUGA